CCCAAGUUACAGACUGGAGCGCUGCCAGAAUAGGAACAUCCAUGACCAUGGUGAAGAUUGGAACAGGCAUUAACAAGUAGCUCAUUUGAAGCAAGAGAUCUAGCUGAAACUGCUAGUUGAUGUGCUGCCUGAUUCUGAACUCCAGAUAUUUUAGUCACUUGCAAACCAUCAUGUAAGCCAAGCUCCUGAAAGUGAGAGAUCCA
rnacentral:lncRNA from 1 species